rnacentral:rRNA from 1 species
GAUGAACGCUGGCGGCGUGCCUAAUACAUGCAAGUCGAACGAAACUUCUUUAUCACCGAGUGCUUGCACUCACCGAUAAUGAGUUGAGUGGCGAACGGGUGAGUAACACGUGGGCAGCCUGCCCAAAAGAGGGGGAUAACACUUGGAAACAGGUGCUAAUACCGCAUAACCAUAGUUACCGCAUGGUAACUAUGUAAAAGGUGGCUAUACUACCGCUUUUGGAUGGGCCCGCGGCGCAUUAGCUAGUUGGUAGGGUAAAGGCUUACCAAGGCAAUGAUGCGUAGCCGAAUUGAGAGGUUGAUCGGCCACAUUGGGACUGAGACACGGCCCAAACUCCUACGGGAGGCAGCAGUAGGGAAUCUUCCACAAUGGGCGAAAGCCUGAUGGAGCAACGCCGCGUGGGUGAAGAAGGUCUUCGGAUCGUAAAACCCUGUUGUUAGAGAAGAAAGUGCGUGAGAGUAACUGUUCACGUUUCGACGGUAUCUAACCAGAAAGCCACGGCUAACUACGUG